rnacentral:rRNA from 1 species
GACGAACGCUGGCGGCGUGCUUAACACAUGCAAGUCGAACGGAAAGGCCCUGCUUUUGUGGGGUGCUCGAGUGGCGAACGGGUGAGUAACACGUGAGUAACCUGCCCUUGACUUUGGGAUAACUUCAGGAAACUGGGGCUAAUACCGGAUAGGAGCUCCUGCUGCAUGGUGGGGGUUGGAAAGUGUCGGCGGUGGGGGAUGGACUCGCGGCUUAUGAGCUUGUUGGUGGGGUAGUGGCUUACCAAGGCUUUGACGGGUAGCCGGCCUGAGAGGGUGACCGGCCACAUUGGGACUGAGAUACGGCCCAGAAUCCUACGGGAGGCAGCAGUGGGGAAUAUUGCACAAUGGGCGGACGCCUGAUGCAGCAACGCCGCGUGCGGGAUGACGGCCUUCGGGUUGUAAACCGCUUUCGCCUGUGACGAAGCGUGAGUGACGGUAAUGGGUAAAGAAGCACCGGCUAACUACGUG